rnacentral:rRNA from 1 species
GUCUACAGCCAUGCUAUCCUGAAUAAGCCCGAUCCUAUCUGAUCUCAGAAGCUAAGCAUGGUCGGGCCUGGUUAGUACUUGGAUGGGGACACCUAAGAAGACCAGGUGCUGCAGGAG